rnacentral:tmRNA from 1 species
GGGGCUGACCGGUUUUGACAGUAAGUGUAAAGAUCGGGCUCGCAUGCAGGCUGGAGUAUGUACGGCCUUAAAAGAUUCAUACGCACUAUAAAUGGCGAAGAUUCUUACGCUAUGGCUGCCUAAUCUAACCUUUACAGGAUAGAAAGCUUAAAGGGUUGAGUUGCGAGAGUAAUUCCCCAGCCACAUCCCUCCGCCCCCCGUCCUUUCGGGGUGGAUUCCGGGGUGUCGACUUGAUUGGACUGCUGCUUGUGAUGCUAUUAUGCAAGCUUAAGACUCAGUAGCUAAGUCGGAACUAGGUGUGUCACCCAGCAUAUUCCGAUCGAAAAACCAACAGGUGACUAAGCAUGUAGAAGGUACGUUGUUUCCUUAUCUGGACGCGAGUUCGAAUCUCGCCAGCUCCACAG